GUCUCAGGCCGUAUCAGCCUGAAGGCGACCGAUCUCGUCUGAUCUCGGAAGCUAAGCAGGGUCGGGCCUGGUUAGGAUCUUGGAUGGGAGACCACCUGGGAAUCCCGGGUGCUCGAGGCU
rnacentral:rRNA from 1 species